CAGAGUUGCAAAACUCCCAACCCUUUGCGAACGAACUGCAGCAGUUGCUUCGGCGGACCGCCCCCGUGGAGGCCCGCCGAAGGAAUACAAACUCUUGCUCAUUUUGGCAUCUCUGAGUAACUUUACAAUAAGUUA
rnacentral:misc_RNA from 1 species